rnacentral:rRNA from 1 species
GUAGGUGGGGGAACGGCUCAACAGGUUGAGGGUGGGUGGCCGACCAGAGAGGGUGAUCGACCACAUCCGGACUCAGACACGAGCCAGCAUCGUGGGGGAGGCAGCAGUGGGGAAUAAUGCACAACGGGGGAAACCCUGACGCAGCAACGCCGCUUGAGUGAGGACGGCGUUUUGGUAGUAAAGCUCUGUGGUCAGGGAGGAUAAUGACGGUACUUGAGGAGGAAUCCACGUCGAAUUACUUGCCAGCAGCAGCGGUAAUAAUUAGGUGGCGAGGAUUGUCAUCAUUUAUUGGGGGUAAAGGGAGGGUAGGCGGACUCUUAGUAGAGAUGUGAAAUACCCGGGCUCAACUUGGGUGCUGCAUUUCAAACUGGAAGUCUAGAGUGCAGGAGAGGAGAAUGGAAUUCCUAGGGUAGCGGUGAAAUGCGUAGAGAUUUGGAAGAACACCAGUGGCGAAGGGGCUUCUCUGGACUGUAACUGACGCUGAGGCUCAAAGCGUGUGAGCUCACACGAUUUUAUACCCCGGUAGAGCACACAGUAAAAGAUGAAUAAUAGGUGUAGGGGUUGUCAUGACCUCUGUGCCGCAGCUAA